UACAGAGGUCCCGAGCGUUAUUCGGAUUCACUGGGCGUAAAGGGUGCGUAGGUGGCAAGGUAAGUUUGAUGUGAAAUCUCCGAGCUUAACUCGGAAAAUGCAUUGAAUACUAUCUGGCUAGAGGUUUGGAGGGGGGACUGGAAUUCUUGGUGUAGCAGUGAAAUGCGUAGAUAUCAAGAGGAACACCAGUGGCGAAGGCGACUACCUGGCCUGUUCUUGACGCUGAGGCGCGAAAGCUAGGGGAGCAAACGGG
rnacentral:rRNA from 1 species